UACAGAGGGUGCGAGCGUUAAUCGGAAUUACUGGGCGUAAAGCGUGCGUAGACGGUUGCGUAAGUCGGAUGUGAAAUCCCCGGGCUCAACCUGGGAAUUGCAUUCGAGACUGCGUAGCUGGGGUGCGGAAGAGGGAAGCGGAAUUUCCGGUGUAGCGGUGAAAUGCGUAGAUAUCGGAGGAACACCAGUGGCGAAGGCGAUCACCUGGGGUUGUUCUGACGCUGAGGAGCGAAAGCUAGGGGAGCAAACGGG
rnacentral:rRNA from 1 species